UUUGCUGCUGGGUCGCCUGUAGCAAA
rfam:Morganella morganii subsp. morganii KT, complete genome.